rnacentral:rRNA from 1 species
GUACGUAGGGGCCAGCGUUGGUCCGGAAUCAUUGGGCGUAAAGCGCGCGUAGGCGGCCAGAUAAGUCCGGUGUGAAAGUCACAGGCUCAACCUGUGAAUGCCGCUGGAAACUAUCUGGCUAGAGUCCGGAAGGGGCGAGUGGAAUUCCUGGUGUAGCGGUGAAAUGCGCAGAUAUCAGGAGGAACACCAAUGGCGAAGGCAGCACUCUGGGACGUGACUGACGCUGAGACGCGAAAGCGUGGGGAGCAAACAGG